UACGUAGGGACCAAGCGUUGUUCGGAUUUACUGGGCGUAAAGGGCGCGUAGGCGGCGUGGUAAGUCACUUGUGAAAUCUCUGAGCUUAACCCAGAACGGCCAGCUGAUACUGCUUUGCUAGAGUGCAGAAGGGGCAAUCGGAAUUCUUGGUGUAGCGGUGAAAUGCGUAGAUAUCAAGAGGAACACCUGAGGUGAAGACGGGUUGCUGGGCUGACACUGACGCUGAGGCGCGAAAGCCAGGGGAGCAAACGGG
rnacentral:rRNA from 1 species